AAGUCGUAACAAGGUGUCCGUAGGUGAACCUGCGGAAGGAUCAUUACAGUGUUCCCUGCCCUCACGGGUAGAAACGCCCACCCUUUGCGUAAUAUAUCUUGUUGCUUUGGCGGGCCGCCUUCGGGCACCGGCUUCGGCUGGGUUGCGCCUGCCAGAGGACCCCAAACUCUGAAUGUUAGUGUCGUCUGAGUACUAUAUAAUAGUUAAAACUUUCAACAACGGAUCUCUUGGUUCUG
rnacentral:misc_RNA from 1 species